ACGAACACAGGGUUGGGAGCUGACAGGAGGCAAGAGCGAGCAAGGACGGAAACUCCAGGGCCAUUUUUAAAGGGGCCAGGCAAUCAUGCUCCACCAAUCAGCAACCUGCAACAGACGGACACAAAAAGGCACAGCACACCGACAGGACGGGGGGAGAACACACACACUAAACAGAAAACACAUACAUGUAAAUAGACAAAUUAUGACCCAGGGUCAUAACACAGGGAAGCGCUAAAGAUCACCAUGGUUACAGGUCUGCCACAACUGCAGAUCAUAAUUUCUGUUUCAUCCUUGAUUAUUGAGGACGUUCCAAAGUGUAACCACAGAUAUCCAUAGGAUUUCCAUGGAUUUUUGGCCUGGAUGUUCUUAAAACUCCAGGCAAGUAUAUUUAUUUAUUUAUUUAUUCAAAGACUGUAAAAUCAGAGACAAUGCUUUGAUUUUAGCUCCGUCCCGUUUUUUUCUUUUUUUUCUUUUACAGUAUAAAGUAUUAGUUCCUACUGUAGCAGCACAGGCACAUCUGUCAUCCAAACUGGACCUGUAGGCGAUAACGUGAAGGAAUCUUAUUGCAUAGUGCACAGUCUUCUUUUUUCAUUUAUGUUUGUGAUCCAAACCCUGGAUUUCACUGUCCCAAGAGAUUCCAACUUAGCUGUGUACUAAAGGAAGACCUACCUCUGUCCUAAAUGAAGACCUACCUCUGUCCUGAAGGAAGGCCUACCUCUGUCCUGAAGGCCUACCUCUGUCCUAAAUGAAGACCUACCUCUGUCCUAAAGGCCUACCUCUGUCCUAAAGGAAGACCUUCCUCUCAUCUGUAAUAAUUGUAUUUUCCUUUGACAAGAGAAAGCAAGUUUUUUUUGAAUGGAUAAUAUAAUGUAAUGUGAGUUGUUUUAAGUUGAAACUUGAUGUUUUUCUAAAGCAGAAACGUGUGUUUGUUGAACUAGCUAAGUCUAGUUUUUUUUGUACUGAUAAUAUAAAAUAAAUAUUUGUUUUAACUCAGUACUAAGUUGUAACAAGUGAUUAAUAGUUGAAUCAACUUUCAUAACUUUGGAAAGACAGUUGGGACGAGAACAUUGUAGUGAAGUCACCUUUAUGAACGUCAGUAUCUGAGUUUAAACAGUGGUAUUAUUCAAGUUAACUCCCAUUUUCAAGGCAGCAGGUGAACUUUCAUUUGCAAGAUGAACCAACUUGAAGUGUCUUCCAGCGUACAUGGAUGCUGAUCCAAUGAGAUUAAAGCUUUUAAUCAGAAUGGGUACAGUUACAUGAUGUUUUUUUAAAUCUGAUUUAUUUUUCAAGAAGAAAUUAAUCCGGAACUGAAGUA